rnacentral:lncRNA from 1 species
CUUCCUUUUUCAGGCUUCUACUACUCACUGUCCAGUUUCUGGUUUUCUUGCAUAUUGUCCCUCAGAUUUCAGUCCUUCGCCCCUGCUUUUUAGUUUCGCGGUCAAGGAGAACGGUUGCUGUGUUUUAGAACGCAGUGGGUACGUCAAAAAGUAUGCAGGAGAGGAAGAACAAGGUUCAAGCAAGUGUGGCUGGUCUGGUUGAAAGAAAAUAAAAGACGGUAAAUAAAAUUCACCAGAGACCACAUAGCCAGAGAAGGACAAGCUGGGUUUUGAAUCUAGGCAAUCUUGACCCCAGAGCCCUCCAGCCUAAAGGUCUGUGCGCUAAGUUGACUCUACUUCAAGUUCAGCAAAUCAUUCAGGUCUUCCCAGAAGCAAGGAAAGAAGCAUUAGAUUCUACUAGGUAUAUGGAAAUUCCCCAGCCAGGGAUUGAAUCUGAGAUGCAGCUGCAACCUCUGCCACAGCUGUGACAAUGCUGGAUCCUUAACCCACUGUGCUGGGCUGGGGAUUGAACCCACACCUCAGCAACCACCCAAGCUACUGAAGAGACAACAUGGGAUCCUUAACCAACUGUGCCACAGCAGGAACUCCAAACUCAACAUUUUGAUGGGAGAGCAGCAAGUUACAUUGCAGAAGUGCAUGUGAAUGGAAGCUAUUAUUGUGGCCAUCUCUGGAAAAUGUAAUCUGCUACAGCAGGGAUUUGGCAGGAGUGCUCUGAAAUUGUGGACUAAUUUGUCAUAUGUUUACAUCUUUUUCUGAAGAGAAUCUUGAAUAUUCAUAAGAUUCUGCAAGGAAUCUGACCAAAAAAGGAAAACAAAUCAAUCACUGAUCUAGGUAGAUUGUGAUCUAUUAUAUAAUUGAGUUUAUUCUGUACUUUAAUAUUCCUUUAAAGGCUAUUUAAUCUCUGCCACUAUCUUGGAAUUGUUCAGCAUCUAGUUGUGAUUCAUUAAUAAAAUCAUCCAAUUACAUUUUUUAAAAACAAAGUUCCCAUUGUGGCUCAGCAGUAACAAACCCACCUAGUAUCCAUGAGGACGUGGGUUUGAUCCCUGGCCUCACUCAGUGGGUUAAGGGUCCGUUGUUGCUAUGAGCUGUGGUGUAGGUCACAGACAUGGCUCAGAUGCGUGUUGCUGUGGCUGUGGUGUAGGCUGGCAGGGACAGCUCUGAUUCAACCCCUAGCCUGGGAACUUCCGUAUGUUAUGGGUGCAG